UAAGCGUGUGAUGAAAUUUUAAGGCUCAACCUUAAACUGUCAUGCGAACUGCGUCGCUAGAGUAUAUGAGGGGUAGCUGGAAUUCCUAGUGUAGGAGUGAAAUCCGUAGAUAUUAGGAGGAACACCAAUGGCGUAGGCAGGCUACUGGCAUAUUACUGACACUGAGGCACGAAAGCGUGGGAGCGAACGGGAUUAGAUACCCCGGUAGUCCACGCCGUAAACGAUGGAUGCUA
rnacentral:rRNA from 1 species